rnacentral:rRNA from 1 species
UACGGAGGGGGCUAGCGUUGUUCGGAAUCACUGGGCGUAAAGGGCGCGUAGGCGGUCUUGCAAGUCCUGUGUGAAAUCCCUCGGCUCAACUGAGGAACUGCACAGGAAACUGCUUGGCUUGAGUUCGGGAGAGGGAAGCGGAAUUCCGGGUGUAGCGGUGAAAUGCGUAGAUAUCCGGAGGAACACCGGUGGCGAAGGCGGCUUCCUGGACCGACACUGACGCUGAGGCGCGAAAGCUAGGGGAGCAAACGGG